GCCACAUUGUCUACUCUCUCCUUCCUUUACUGAAGCAGAAGAUAUGCAGGUACAAUCUCUCUCUCUCUCUCUCUCUCUCUCUCUCUCUCUCUCACACACACACACACACACACACACACACACAGUGGCAGAAAGAAACAGGAACUAUCACCUACAACCACUCAAGAGCAAUCACCAGUCAGAUAAGUAAGUGUAUGAGUAAGGAGGGAAGAAUAUUUCUGAACAUGCUCUGUUGCAACCAAAUGAACACUGGAUUAGAUUAUUGGAGGUGAAAGCCACCAGCAUGCA
rnacentral:lncRNA from 1 species